AACCGCAAAGGGCUCAGUAAACCAGUUUUAAUUUACUAGAGUUUUUACGUUACGUACGUGGAUACCUGUGGUAAUUCUAGAGCUAAUACAUGCAAUUAAGUCCGGACCAGAAAUGGAAAGGACGCUUUUAUUAGAUCAAAACCAUUCGCCCAACUUGCUUGGGCGUUGUUUUGGUGAAUCUAGAUAACAAAUGAGAUCGUACAGUCUUUGUACUGACGACAUCUCUUUCAAACGCCUGACUUAUCAGCUGUCGAUGGUAGACUAUGUGUCUACCAUGGCCCUCACGGGUAACGGGGAAUCAGGGUUCGAUUCCGGAGAGGGAGCCUGAGAAACGGCUACCACAUCCAAGGAAGGCAGCAGGCACGCAAAUUACCCACUCCCGGCACGGGGAGGUAGUGACAAAAAAUAACGAUACGGGACUCUAUUGAGGCCCCGUAAUCGGAAUGAGUACACUUUAAAUCCUUUAGCAAGGAUCCAUUGGAGGGACAGUCUGGUGCCAGCAGCCGCGGUAAUUCCAGCUCCAAUAGCGUAUAUUAAAGUUGUUGCGGUUAAAAAGCUCGUAGUUGGUUCUGCGUGCCGCGCUGUCGGUUCGCCGCCUGUCGGUGUAACUGGCAUGUCGCGGCAUGUCCUGUCGGUGGUGAACGGAGGCUACCUGUAGUGGCUUUAUGCUAACUACAUGUGUUUGUUGUCCGUUUGCCGAUCUCCUACUCCGGUGCUCUUAAACGAGUGUCGAGGUAGGCCGACACGUUCACUUUGAACAAAUUAGAGUGCUUAAAGCAGGCUGAAAUAUCUGCCUGAAUAGUGGUGCAUGGAAUGAUAAAAUAGGACCUCGGUUCUAUUUUGUUGGUUUUAGGAAUAUGAGGUAAUGAUCAAUGUGGACUGGCGGGGGCAUUCGUAUUGCGACGUUAGAGGUGAAAUUCUUGGAUCGUCGCAAGACGCAUAAA
rnacentral:rRNA from 1 species